rnacentral:rRNA from 1 species
GACGAACCGUGCGAACGUUGUUCGGAAUCACUGGGCUUAAAGGGCGCGUAGGCGGUCUGCCAAGUCCGGGGUGAAAGCCUCCAGCUCAACUGGAGAAGUGCCUCGGAUACUGGCGGACUCGAGCGAGGUAGGGGUCGUGGGAACUUCCGGUGGAGCGGUGAAAUGCGUUGAUAUCGGAAGGAACGCCGGUGGCGAAAGCGCACGACUGGACCUCUCCUGACGCUGAGGCGCGAAAGCCAGGGGAGCAAACGGG